rnacentral:rRNA from 1 species
CGGGUCUUGUACACACCGCCCGUCACACCACGAGAGUUUGUAACACCCGAAGCCGGUGGAGUAACCUUUUAGGAGCUAGCCGUCGAAGGUGGGACAAAUGAUUGGGGUGAAGUCGUAACAAGGUAGCCGUAUCGGAAGGUGCGGCUGGAUCACCUCCUUUCUAAGGA